rnacentral:rRNA from 1 species
AGCGAACGCUGGCGGCAGGCCUAACACAUGCAAGUCGAACGAGCUCUUCGGAGCUAGUGGCGGACGGGUGAGUAACACGUGGGAACGUGCCCUUAGGUACGGAAUAACGCAGAGAAAUUUGCGCUAAUACCGUAUGUGCCCUUCGGGGGAAAGAUUUAUCGCCUUUGGAGCGGCCCGCGUCUGAUUAGCUAGUUGGUGAGGUAAUGGCUCACCAAGGCUACGAUCAGUAGCUGGUCUGAGAGGAUGACCAGCCACACUGGGACUGAGACACGGCCCAGACUCCUACGGGAGGCAGCAGUGGGGAAUGUUGCGCAAUGGGCGAAAGCCUGACGCAGCCAUGCCGCGUGAAUGAUGAAGGUCUUAGGAUUGUAAAAUUCUUUCACCGGGGACGAUAAUGACGGUACCCGGAGAAGAAGCCCCGGCUAACUUCGUGCCAGCCGCCGCAGUAAGAC